rnacentral:rRNA from 1 species
CCCUUAGAUGUUCUGGGCCGCACGCGUGCUACACUGAGUGGAUCAGCGGGUCAGGUUGCGCGAAAGCGCUUCCUAAUCUUUAAAUCCGCUCGUGAUGGGGAUUGACGGUUGCAAUUUUCUGUCAUGAACGAGGAAUACCUUGUAAGCGCGGGUCAUCAUCCCGCGCUGAAUACGUCCCUGCCCUUUGUACACACCGCCCGUCGCUCCUACCGAUUGAGUGGUCCGGUGAGGCUUUGGGAUCUGAGCGGAAAGAGCGUUUCGCUGUUUCUGCUCGGAAAACUCAGUCGAACCUUAUCAUUUAGAGGAAGGAGAGGUCGUAACA